UUUCUCUUUCUUCUUCUGCUCCCAGUCUUCAUCUCUAACCUAAAAUCUCAUGGAAAUGGAGAUAUCAGAACCCAAGAUGUUAUUUCAACAAAGUGAAUAAACCCUUCUCUUGAUUUUUCUUCUGAAAUCCCUCAACUCACUAGUCUAAUCGUAGAUCUCAAAUCUGCUGGGAACAGAUUCAAUCCAUGUUUGUUUUUUUUCAAUUUUUGGGGGUUUAUCAAAAUCUCUACCUAGAUCUAAUUAAAUAAUCAUCUCAUGAAUGAUUACUGCUAAAGCUGUUUGUUUUAUGGUGUUCUUGGGUUUCCGAAUCUGAAAGUAUGAGUUUGGAAUUCCCGAUCUAAUGGAGGGAUUGUAACUGUACAAAUCCAAUAAUCUGGCGUGGGUUUUGGUUUGUUUGAAGGAUUCGGAUGUUUGGGUAUCCAUCUGCAGCUGAAACUAAACUACUCUAAGAGUUUCUCUUAGAUUUGACUGAAUAUGCUUUUCUCUGCUGACAAUUGGAUUCCAUUUCAAAUGGAGUCUGGAUUCUUAACGAGGUUGUUUGAAAGAGGGUAAGAAGAUGAAUUGGAGAAUUUUAUGAAGAACUCUAGGUGUUGGCGUGUUGCUGUUGUUUAGGAGUUAUGCUACAUUCUUGUUAUUGGAAAUCACUGAAAUGGUGAAGUACCUCAAGCUUCCAGGGAAGUUUGCACGCCUUGGGGGAAAGCUGUUCAAGCCUCAAGAGAUGUGCAGUUUAGGAGAACGGCAUGUCUAAUAUCGGAGGGUAUAUCGUAUUAUUAAUUAGCAGCAAUUGUAUGGCGAAGACUACCAUGUCGAGUUCCCAUUUUGAAGCUCUGGCCAAAUAACAUGUCUCUUAUUCCUUCUAUGCUGUCACAACUCUCAAUUCUGAAAACUGUUGAUGCCACUGGUUCAAAGACGGAUCAAGGGCCCUAUGUGGUUGCAAUUUCUCAUUGGUCACUGUAUUUUUAAGCUAAAGGAGUACCAAACAGCUAAAGCAGCCUUAGGAAGGAGGUGUUUACUCGUCUCCUGGUGAUGCAAGAUUCACCAAUUUGAUCAAAGAAUUUUAAUUAUGACAAAAUUGCAGGUCUGUGCUUUUAUUUUGUUCAAAUUUGUUCAUGCAGUAGUUACGAUAGAGUUAUGAACUACAUUUUGGAAGUACCAAAAAUGUUGGAAAAUUGGCUAAUUGCUUAGGAUACUGAAGGUGUUGGUGGCGUGCUUACUUAUUUUUUGGGGGAUAUAUGAACUGGUCCCUCUAUUUUGUAAGGUGAAGUUAUGUAAAAGAAUUUGAUGUUCAAUAAUGAACUUAGUGUCCAAGUUUUCAUACUUUGAACUUGAAUAAUUUUGGUCCAGAUUGUAACUUGAAUUUGAGCUCCAUCUGAGAUAAUUUUGAGUCACACUUUGACUUUAAUCUGA